UUAUCGGACUUGUUACAAGGCUGUUCUAAUAAGUCUGAUACAGUGAUGAUAUAACAAGAAUGUUACAAGGUUGACGACACAAGGUUGUAACAAUAUUGUUAUAUCAUGACUGUAUCGGAAUUGUUGGAACAACCUUGCAACAAGUUUAAUAC
rnacentral:miRNA from 1 species